CCUAACACAUGCAAGUCGAACGGUAACAGGAAACAGCUUGCUGUUUCGCUGACGAGUGGCGGACGGGUGAGUAAUGUCUGGGAAACUGCCUGAUGGAGGGGGAUAACUACUGGAAACGGUAGCUAAUACCGCAUAACGUCGCAAGACCAAAGAGGGGGACCCUCGGGCCUCUUGCCAUCGGAUGUGCCCAGAUGGGAUUAGCUUGUUGGUGGGGUAACGGCUCACCAAGGCGACGAUCCCUAGCUGGUCUGAGAGGAUGACCAGCCACACUGGAACUGAGACACGGUCCAGACUCCUACGGGAGGCAGCAGUGGGGAAUAUUGCACAAUGGGCGCAAGCCUGAUGCAGCCAUGCCGCGUGUAUGAAGAAGGCCUUCGGGUUGUAAAGUACUUUCAGCGGGGAGGAAGGGAGUAAAGUUAAUACCUUUGCUCAUUGACGUUACCCGCAGAAGAAGCACCGGCUAACUCCGUGCCAGCAGCCGCGGUAAUACGGAGGGUGCAAGCGUUAAUCGGAAUUACUGGGCGUAAAGCGCACGCAGGCGGUUUGUUAAGUCAGAUGUGAAAUCCCCGGGCUCAACCUGGGAACUGCAUCUGAUACUGGCAAGCUUGAGUCUCGUAGAGGGGGGUAGAAUUCCAGGUGUAGCGGUGAAAUGCGUAGAGAUCUGGAGGAAUACCGGUGGCGAAGGCGGCCCCCUGGACGAAGACUGACGCUCAGGUGCGAAAGCGU
rnacentral:rRNA from 1 species